UACGUAGGGUGCAAGCGUUAAUCGGAAUUACUGGGCGUAAAGCGUGCGCAGGCGGUUAUGCAAGGCAGAUGUGAAAUCCCCGGGCUCAACCUGGGAACUGCAUUUGUGACUGCAUGGCUAGAGUACGGUAGAGGGGGAUGGAAUUCCGCGUGUAGCAGUGAAAUGCGUAGAUAUGCGGAGGAACACCGAUGGCGAAGGCAAUCCCCUGGACCUGUACUGACGCUCAUGCACGAAAGCGUGGGGAGCAAACAGG
rnacentral:rRNA from 1 species